rnacentral:rRNA from 1 species
ACUCCUACGGGAGGCAGCAGUGGGGAAUAUUGCACAAUGGGCGCAAGCCUGAUGCAGCAACGCCGCGUGAGCGAAGAAGGUCUUCGGAUCGUAAAGCUCUUUUCUUUAGGGAAGAAAACUGACGGUACCUAAGGAAUAAGCACCGGCUAAAUACGUGCCAGCAGCCGCGGUAAUACGUAUGGUGCAAGCGUUAUCCGGAAUCACUGGGCGUAAAGGGUGCGUAGGCGGUUUUGCAAGUCAGAAGUGAAAGGCUACGGCUCAACCGUAGUAAGCUUUUGAAACUGCAAGACUAGAGUGCAGGAGAGGAAAGUGGAAUUCCUAGUGUAGAGGUGAAAUUCGUAGAUAUUAGGAGGAACACCAGUGGCGAAGGCGACUUUCUGGACUGUAACUGACGCUGAUGCACGAAAGCGUGGGGAGCAAACAGGAUUAGAUACCCUGGUAGCACAGAG